AAACAAACACAAUAACGGAAAUUAAAAUAGCACACCGAGAAUUUAACGUGGGAAAACUCCAAUUCGGAGUGAAAAACCCACGGGACCGAUCACGCAAAGAAAAUCCACUAAGAAAACUUGAGUACAAGUGAUUUCGACCAAAAACACACAACUCAAUUUACCGAUUUCUCGUUGACAGUGAUCUUUGCCGGUCCUCGAUCGAUAGGAAUCCACCAAUCGACCUAGCUGCAACUCCUCGCAGCGUCAACGCCUCAACUCCUCGAACCGUCCACCGAAUUCUCGGCUUCACGCGAAAUCCACACGCCGAACCUCCUUCCGGAGCUUGUAGAAUCGAAGAUUUGUGGUGAUUUAACGUUUGAAUACCAUAAGCUAUGGGAGUUCACCUAUUAUCAAACAUCUACUCGAUUCUCGUAAGAAUUAUUGAGUAACAACGAAGAAUCAAGCCGAUGUCGAUUGCUAGAAACUCAUCUAAGCAUUGAAAAGGAGAGAAUUGAGUUUCUAGGGUUUAGAAUUGGUAAAUUAUUCAAAGCCUUAAUUUUAGAUGACCCACAUAGCUUAUUUAUAUGUUUUGAAGACUUAGAAGUAGACUAGGAUUGCAAAAAGUUGAUUUUAAAAACCUGUGUCGUCCUCAGAGACCGGUCCUGUCGAGGAGACCGGUCUGUGAGAGACCGGUCUCUCAAGUGAGGAACCGGUCCCUCCCUGCGUGACCAAAAAACCCCACGUUCGGGAACCGGUCUCUCAAACUUGAAACCGGUCCCUCGCUGCGCGACAGAAUCACCAAGGUUCGGGAACCGGUCUCUCAUCACAGGGGACCGGUUGCAUCAAGGUUUACACAGUGAGGACCUUGGGGGAACCGGUCUCUCCAUUUUAGAGACCGGUCCCAGAACACAAGAAAGUUCAGAAAAGUUGUUUAAACACAAUCUAAGCCUUCUGAACUUAUUUUAAUUAUGUAUCUUCACCACAAAUGAUCUUUUCUUCAUACCUUAGGUGUCGAUCUUUCCGAAUGAGUCUUUGUCCUCCAAUUUGAAUCUUUUCUCAAAAACUUCUGCGAUCAACUCUUCAAGACUCCAAACAACUUUACGAAAUUCGCCAACCUAUAAAAUCCUUAACAAUCGAGCACCGUAGUGUAGACAAUGACAAGGACGGUGCUUUAAUUGUGGACAAGAAGGACACGUUAGCCGCGACUGUCCGGCAAGGGCCUCGUCUACUCCGUCAGUCGCAUCGACUCCAGCGCCCUCGCCUUAUCAAGGAGGGGCCCCGUAUGUUCCCGUAUCGGCGGGACGCGCACUGGUACCGCGCCAGCCGGAGGUGACUCGAUCAGCGCCGAGCGGACGGGUAUUCGCUGCUCAGGCCCAUGCCGAGGAGCCUGCCCAAGCCGAGGAGCCUGAUGUUGUGGCAGGUAUGGUUCUAAUCAAUGGAGUUUGCGCCAGAGCUAUGUUUGAU
rnacentral:lncRNA from 1 species